AGGUCAGGCUGAAGACCUUACCGGAUUAGCUGAGAGGUGGUGCAUGGCCGUCGUCAGUUCGUACUGUGAAGCAUCCUGUUAAGUCAGGCAACGAGCGAGACCCACGUCCACAGUUGCCAGCAUACCCUCCGGGGUGAUGGGUACACUGUGGAGACCGCCGCUGCUAAAGCGGAGGAAGGAAUGGGCAACGGUAGGUCAGUAUGCCCCGAAUCUCCCGGGCUACACGCGGGCUACAAUGGUUGGUACAAUGGGCAUCUACCCCGAAAGGGGAAGGAAAUCUCUUAAAGCCAAUCGUAGUUCGGAUUGAGGGCUGCAACUCGCCCUCAUGAAGCUGGAAUCCGUAGUAAUCGCGUCUCAAAAUGGCGCGGUGAAUAUGUCCCUGCUCCUU
rnacentral:rRNA from 1 species